CGUUUAUUUCAAUGUCAAUUUAAAUAGACUUGAUUUACUUUCACACCCGCACACACACCCCACACACAAAUGUACACACAACCCCCAAUCUUUCGAGUUUACCCAAAAUCUACAAAAUGCAGCGCCGCUCCUUAACUAUUGUUAAGCCAAGAGAUCAGUUCGUAGCACCAAAGCCAAAACAGAAUGGAAGCACCACACCAAGCAAUUUAAGGCCAAGUCCUACCGUUCGUAUGAGCCACUCCAUAGUGCGGCCGACCCCCAAGCUCAAGAAAUCCAACAGCAGUAGAAGCAGUCAAAAGGAGUGAUCUCGCGAAUAUCAUUAUUUAUAGACACACCAAAUUUAAUUCGUAAGACUUUUGUCCACAAAGCAUUCGAAGACAACUCCAGCAGCUUCAACGCUCGUGAAUAUUAAUCUACAUAGUAUAGUAUAGUAUACAUUUUUAUGCAAAAUAGGGCACCGGAUGUGAAUAUCUACGAGAGUUGUUAUGUUUUAUACGCAUAUGAUAUAAACGGUUGCUAUAAUGAGGCCUGGGUAGAACCGCUGGAGAAUAAAGAACGCAAACUUUGUGGCCUGAGGGCGAUCGCUCUUUAAAUGCAUUGCGCGUGUUAAGCAUCUGAGAAGGUUGGAUGAUAUACCAACAUAUACGCCAGACAUGGUUGUCCCUUUUCGCAAAUGAACACGUGGUGAAUAUGAGCAAUACUUUGUACAUAUACUUUUGUAUGUGUACUUCGAUUUUCCGGAUAUACUACCGGAUGUCCUAUAUGUGUUACUCUAGAGACGUUCUUUGAUGGUGAAUUUGUAUUCGAUGUGUGAAGCUAUGGAUUCGAUGACUCCUAUCCACCAUUUCGAAGAUCGGUACGAUUAAAGGCACACAGUAAAUGUUAAUGGUUUUUAAAACAACGCUUUCAAAUAGUGCUGGAUCUCUAAUCUAUGAACAAAUAAUGGUGCCCGUCGCACAAUAAUCUUUUGGACUGGUUAGCUGCCAGGCGGAGAAGUGGAGGACAUCUAUCGAUAAUAAAAAGCCACUUUGAAAUAUUACAAGGAUUGUUCAAAAUUAUUUCCACAACCCCACAAUAAGUCACAAAAUUCAUACAUUAAAAAAUAACAUGCAACAAACGUUCACACCAUA